rnacentral:lncRNA from 1 species
ACCACGCCACCAUUAUCCUUGCUGCCAUAUACCAUCACCACGCCACCAUUAUCCUUGCUGCCAUAUACCACCACCAUAUAUCCAUUACCAUCCUAGUCUGUUUCGGUUUAGGUUAAUUUCGAGAUCUAUUUGAUUUCGAUUUCGCGUUUCCUUACCUGAGUAGGUUUCGAAAAAAAAAAAAAAAAAAAAAAAAAAAAAAAAAAAGAAG